AUGUCUGCCACUUCCGCCCUGGGGUCUCCGGCGACCUCCGCCGCCGCGGCCCCUCUGCCCGACCUCUCCAUCCCCUAUGAUCUAGCCACGCGUGGACAGUGGCAAGCGCUGCUCGCGAACCUCGCCCACCCCUCCCACGCCCAUCACCCGCACCACCGCCUCCUCUUAUCUGCGCUCUCGGCGCUCUCCCUCGCCAAGCUCCGCCGCUUCUCCGACGGCGCCGCCCUACUGGCCUCGCUUCACCCAGAUCCCGGCUGCCCGCCGCCGCCCUUUCUUCUCCGCCUCCUGCACGCUCUCCUCCCGCUCUUCUUCCCCGACCGCCCCCUCGCUCUCGACCGCCUCUACACGCUCCUCUCAUCGGUCCGCGCCCGCCCUGACGCCCAGCAUCCCGAGUGGCGCCGUCGUGACGCCCUCGUCUCGUCAAUCCUCGCCUCCGAUCACCUCGCCCACCGCGAGUUCGACGUCGCCAUUGCCCUCGUGACUGAACUCGUCGCCCGCGAACCGGACAACCCGGUCCUGCUCUCCCGCCUCGCCUAUGCCCACCUCCAGAUCGGCAACCUCGCUGCCGCCUCCGCGGUCUUCCAACACGUUGAAUCCGUCGCGGCCGGCGACUCCUCUCACGACAGCCUCCUGUCUCGUAACCGCGCGCUCGAGUGCAUCGUGGCUAAGGACUAUGCCGCAGCGGUGCGGGAGUACGAGCGCUGUAUUGAAGCUGACCCGGCUGACGCCAUCGCCGUGAACAACAAGGCGCUGUGCCUAAUGUACUCGCGGGACCUCGGCGAUGCCAUCAAGGUGCUUGAGGGAGCGCUGGAGACGAUGCCCACGGCGGCACUCAACGAGACAGUGGUGGUCAAUUUGUGUAGCAUGUACGAGCUUGCCUUUGUCAACCAUGGUGAGGUCAAGCGAACCCUUGCCGAUUGGAUCACGAGGGUGGCACCAGACGACUUCGACAAGUCCUGCACACGCAUGUAG
rnacentral:rRNA from 1 species